GGAAGGUGUUCUCACUUGCCAACGAUAUCCCAGAUGGUGCUAUAGUUUUCCUUGAUGAGGUUGAUUCUUUUGCUACUGCUCGUGAUGGCGAAACACAUGAAGCAACACGCAGACUUUUAUCAGUGCUAUUACGACAGAUUGAUGGAUUUGAGCAGGAGAAGAAAGUAGUGGUAGUGGCUGCUACUAAUAGAAAGCAAGACCUUGAUCCUGCUUUAAUUAGCCGAUUUGAUUCCAUGAUUACAUUCCCCCUACCUGAUCAACAGACUCGUCAGGAAAUAGCUGCACAGUAUGCAAAGCAUUUGACAGACUCUGAAUUAUCUGAAUUUGCAAGAGCCACGGAAGGAUUGUCUGGGCGGGACAUGAGGGAUGUAUGUCAGCAAGCGGAACGACAUUGGGCAUCAAAGAUCAUUCGUGGUCAAGCUCCUAAACAUGAAGGUAGUGGUGGCUCGCUUCCCCCUCUCCAAGAUUACAUUGAAAGUUCAAGGAACAGGCAAAGAGCUCUGUUUGAUAUUGAAAUUCAGAAGCGAAGCAUGAAUCCCACUGCAAAGAAGCCUCUGUUUGAUUUUGCAUAAUAUCAUCAUUGGGUAUGUCAUCUCUUGUAGUACAUAUAAAAUCUAUACUCACAUCUGUCGUGAUUAGUCACCAUUGGGUACGAUACAUUUAUUCAGACCAUGUUUUACCUAUAUGCCAUUUGUGUAUGAUGUCUGCA
rnacentral:misc_RNA from 1 species